rnacentral:rRNA from 1 species
UGGGGAAUAUUGGACAAUGGGGGCAACCCUGAUCCAGCCAUGCCGCGUGAGUGAUGAAGGCCUUAGGGUUGUAAAGCUCUUUCGUGCGGGAAGAUAAUGACGGUACCGCAAGAAUAAGCCCCGGCUAACUUCGUG